GGCUAUAACAUGUUGAAACUCGGGUUCUCAUAAGAUCACCGACGUUAAGCAACGUCGAACCUGGUCAGCACCUAGAUGGGUGACCGCUUGGGAAUACCGGUGCUGUGA